UUGUUGCUGGUCGUCAAACGGGGGCACGKGSACGCUCUGUUCACACAUCCACUCACRSSKGKGCACCCACUGUAKUUCKGKGGSSKGGGGGACCUGYCCCCCUUGCUGUGGUUCUAUGUCUUUACACACACACCGUAACAAAGUCUYAUGGAAUGUAUACCGCGUCUAACGCAUUACAAUACAACUUUCAGCAACGGAUCUCUUGGCUCUCGCAUCGAUGAARAACGCAGCGAAAUGCGAUAAGUAAUGUGAAUUGCANAAUUCAGUGAAUCAUCGAAUCUUUGAACGCACCUUGCGCCCUUUGGYUAUUCUGAAGGGCAUGCCUGUUUGAGUAUCAUGAACACCUCAACUCUCGCGGUUUGCCGUGAUGAGCUUGGACUUUGGGGGUCUUGCUGGCCUAUGGUCGGCUCCUCUCAAAUGGAUCAGCUUGCCAGUGUUUGGUGGCAUCGCAGGUGUGAUAACUAUCUACGCUUGUGGUCUCCCACCAGGNAACCCUCAGCGAUGGGGGUUCGCUGGAGCUCAUAAAUGUCUCUCCUCAGUGAGGACAGCUUUUGAACGUUUGAUCUCAAAUCAGGAAGGACUACCCGCUGAACUUAAGCAUAUCAAUAAGCGGAGGA
rnacentral:rRNA from 1 species